rnacentral:rRNA from 1 species
GAUGAACGCUAGCGGGAGGCCUAAUACAUGCAAGUCGAACGGUAAGGUCCCUUCGGGGAUACACGAGUGGCGGACGGGUGCGUAACGCGUACGAAACAUACCUUCAACAGGGAGAUACCUCCGGGAAACUGGAAAUAAUACCCCAUAGUAUUGAGAUAUCGCAUGAUAUUUCAAUUAAAGCUUUGGCGGUUGAAGAUUGUCGUGCGUCUGAUUAGCUAGUUGGUGAGGUAACGGCUCACCAAGGCGACGAUCAGUAGCUGGUCUGAGAGGAUGAUCAGCCACACUGGAACUGAGACACGGUCCAGACUCCUACGGGAGGCAGCAGUAGGGAAUAUUGGACAAUGGGCGGAAGCCUGAUCCAGCCAUCCCGCCGUGUAGGAA